rnacentral:rRNA from 1 species
CUGCUGCCUCCCGUAGGAGUUUGGACCGUGUCUCAGUUCCAAUGUGGGGGACCUUCCUCUCAGAACCCCUACGCAUCGUCGGCUUGGUGGGCCGUUGCCCCACCAACUACCUAAUGCGCCGCAUGCCCAUCCGUGACCGGGGUCGCCCCUUUGGCCGGCAGGGGAUGUCCCCUCCCGGCAUUAUGUUGUAUUAGGCGGGAUUUCUCCCGGUUAUCCAUCUGCCACGGGCAGGUUGCAUACGUGUUACUCACCCGUGCGCCGGUCGCCGGCAACGG